rnacentral:rRNA from 1 species
CCUACGGGAGGCAGCAGUGAGGAAUAUUGGUCAAUGGGCGAGAGUCUGAACCAGCCAAGUCGCGUGAGGGAUGACUGCCCUAUGGAUUGUAAACUUCUUUUAUAUGGGAAUAAAAUGUUCCACGUGUGUGAUUUUGUAUGUACCAUAUGAAUAAGGAUCGGCUAACUCCGUGCCAGCAGCCGCGGUAAUACGGAGGAUCCGAGCGUUAUCCGGAUUUAUUGGGUUUAAAGGGAGCGUAGGUGGAUUGUUAAGUCAGUUGUGAAAGUUUGCGGCUCAACCGUAAAAUUGCAGUUGAAACUGGGAGUCUUGAGUACAGUAGAGGUGGGCGGAAUUCGUGGUGUAGCGGUGAAAUGCUUAGAUAUCACGAAGAACCCCGAUUGCGAAGGCAGCUCACUGGACUGCAACUGACACUGAGGCUCGAAAGUGUGGGUAUCAAACAGGAUUAGAUACCCCAGUAGUC